UACGUACCUAAAAACCAUUUGCGAUCGAUCAGAGGCUUCCAUGCGAUAUGACGGACGAUCGACGAGUCAUAAACCGAAUCGAAGGAAGCGAGUGCGAGAGAGAAAGAUCGCCUAAUGUGCCACGAAAACUAUGUACCGGGGAGCCAGUAUGGCGCCGUCCUUCGUUUAUCUCUUUCUCUAACCCCUUUCACUCUUUCACGCACACACGCAUACAUUCGUCCCUUCUCUUUCAUCGCUUUCCAUCUCACUUUUCUGCUACGUUCGUAAGUGCCCGUCCGACCCUCUCUCUAUACCCCGAUCUUCUUCAUUCGCCUCUUUUCACUAUACACGUAUAUUCCUUCCCUGUCUCUCUUGUGUUCGUUAUGUUCACAUGUAUGCGCCUCGCCGGUCUCACUCUCACCACCACCUUCUUCCUCACUAUUUCGUGUUAACCACGCGCAUACACGUUCGACACUUGACUGUCACCGGCGCGCACGGGAUCGUUGAAUUAGUCGAGGACUAGAUUAUGUUAAGAUUAUGACACGAUUCCAAAUUCCACUGACUAUAAAAUAAUCAUCAAGUCACCGACGACAAACAACGAAUACACUAUUAGAGCAAGAUGGAACACCACGAAAGUGACACAAGUCGACUGAAGCGUUGGGGCCAGAGACAGAGGCGGACAAACAGCAAAUGUAGAAUGGAAAUCAGCCACGAAUCGAGCCGGUUUUUCGAUGCGUACCACGCGGAACCGACGACCACACGUAAACGCACCAGACACACCGUGUGGAGAUGCUUCUCGAUGGCGGCCUCGAAUUCUCAGUCCCGGACGACGCCUACACCACCACCACGUACCACCUUAAUAGCUGUGCUUUCCCGGACUCACGGGACUCGACUGGGCUCCGCCAGGCCACGAUACCCCCGCCGCACUUGCGCCAACCGGCUAUUGCUCCUACCCUUCGCGAAGAUAUACUAACCGUUCCUCGUUCUUACGCCCACCCCCAGCGCAGUUCUAUUACCCGUGCAGACUAACUGAACCCCUGCGGAGCUCCCACGCCCGCGAAACAGCCAAUGCUGGAGCCUCUCCGCAGGACCGUCUAACCUCGGCCAAGGGCGCCAACCUACCGAAUACGUUUUCUGUUUCUUAACCAACAUUAUGAUACACCGGUAUAGAAGCAAUGUUUUAUGGUUAUUAAUUAUUGUUAGAAGUAUCGGUAGUAGUAGAAUUAAAAUUCAUUCUUAAGUAAUAAAAACUGAUCGUCGACAAAGGGUUUUUAACAGUGCAAAUAAAUAUAAAGUAAGUUUUGUUGAAUGGAAUGAAAUUAAAGUAGAUAAAUAUAUAUAGAUUUUCUACUUAAAGGCUUUGCGUAGGAUUAUUGUAGGUUAAGAAAUAAGUAGAAUUUAUUACGUAGGGUAUACAUUUGUAAAACGAGGGUCCCAAUUCCUCAAUAUACGGGUCUAGCACUCGCCCCGUUGAAUCGUGUUGUGACUGGGUAAACGAACGAAAUACUCUAAUGGUCUACGUUCGUCUGUUUCCAUUUGUUUCUUCGAACCCACGAAACAAAGGACAAUCGCGUGAUAAUAUUUUAAUCAUUGUUUCAUUCCGAUUUUAUAAAAUCGCGUCAAACAAAGAGAAUUACAUAUGUAUAACAUUACACAACUUUAAUGACAAGUAUA